rnacentral:rRNA from 1 species
AGGAAGGUAGUGUAGUUAACACCUGCAUUAUUUGACGUUACCUACAGAAGAAGCACCGGCUAACUCCGUGCCAGCAGCCGCGGUAAUACGGAGGGUGCGAGCGUCAAUCGGAAUUACUGGGCGUAAAGCGCAUGCAGGCGGCCUGUUAAGUCAGAUGUGAAAGACCCGGGGCUUAACCUCGGAAUUGCAUUUGUAAACUAGGCAGGCUAGAGUCUUGUAGAGGGGGGUAGGAAGUUUCAGGUGUAGCGGUGAAAUGCGUAGAGAUCUGAAGGAAUACCAGUGGCGAAGGCGGCCCCCUGGACAAAGACUGACGCUCAGAUGCGAAAGCGUGGGGAGCAAACAGGAUUAGAUACCCUGGUAG